rnacentral:rRNA from 1 species
GUGCCAGCAGCCGCGGUAAAACGUAGGUGGCAAGCGUUAUCCGGAUUUACUGGGUGUAAAGCGUGUGCAGGCGGUCGUGUAAGUAGCGCGUGAAAGCGCCCGGCUUAACCGGGCGAGGACGUGCUGUACUGCACGACUGGAGGCGGGUAGAGGCGAGUGGAAUUCCGGGUGUAGUGGUGAAAUGCGUAGAGAUCCGGAGGAACACCAGAGGCGAAGGCGACUCGCUGGGCCCGUUCUGACGCUCAGACACGACAGCAUGGGGAGCGAACGGGAUUAGAAACCCCUGUAGUCC